AUACGGAGGGUGCGAGCGUUAAUCGGAAUUACUGGGUGUAAAGGGUGCGUAGGCGGCUUGAUAAGUCGGAUGUGAAAGCCCAGGGCUUAACCUGGGAAUUGCAUUCGAUACUGUCAGGCUAGAGUAUGUCAGAGGUUGGCGGAAUUCCUAGUGUAGCGGUGAAAUGCGUAGAUAUCAGGAGGAACACCAGUGGCGAAGGCGGCUAACUGGGGCAAUACUGACGCUGAGGCACGAAAGCGUGGGGAGCAAACAGGAUUAGAAACCCUAGUAGUCC
rnacentral:rRNA from 1 species